rnacentral:lncRNA from 1 species
GGUAGUUGCACAAGUGGCAGUAUAGGUGCCUCUGUUCUUAUUUCAACACUGCCUUGUCUGGGUGUAAGGUUUUCAAUUGGGGAUCUUGAGAAAGGUGAGUAGCUCGUUCCUUGCACAAUUAUCAAGUCUUAUCUUUCAUCCCCCUCUUCUACUUGAUAACCUUAACUGGGGGGAUUUUGCACAGGUUGUAAAGCCCGAAUGGUGGAAUCCGCAGGGGGACUCUGGUAGUUACUUGAGCUUGGCCCUUGCUCUGGGAUCUCACGAGCUGCCUCUGUUGCAGCCACAAUGAUACUAGCAGCAAUUUCCUCCAAUAAACCUAAGGCAUCUCCUCUCAGGACUCUUUGCUUCCUUGCUUCUGCCUCCGUCGGAUCCACACAACUCAGAUACUGCAGCGUCACGUGGUUAAGAUCUUCCAUCACCUCAUUUGUUUGAAUUUGCUUAAGAAUUGGUUGAGACUGACGGUGAGUUACGUCUUCUUAUAGUCUUCCUUUGCAGGUGUAGUAUGGAGAGGCAUCCCCGUGUCAGGUCUUCUCGGAAUUACUUCUGGUUGUUUGACAUGCCAUUGAUUCAUCUCUCUAUGGGGGAGAAGAGGCCUGUUCCUUAAAUCUCUUCUUUCCACUUCUUCCCGAUGUCUAGUGAAAGGAGGAGAGGAGUAUUGUGUUGGUUCCUCUCGCCCAGUUCUUAUUGUCCAGUCGGUUCUUGUUUAGUUUUCAGUGAGUCGUCUGCUCCAUUCCGGCGGUGGAGGGUUCCUAGUCUGUUUGGUGCUGACUCUGCUUCCAAAGGCAUUUCCAUAUCUGUCUCUUCUGCUUUGGAAGUUCGUUUGUGGGAGGUUGCUCUCUCUUUCGGAGUUCUCUUUUCAACUUCUCCCCUUGUCUUACCAGUGCUGUAGAAGGUGACUGCUCUCUGGACGAAAGUAGAUUAUGCCUUGGGACUACACUAUCCAUGACAUCAGUGUUUUGAGUUCUCUUCAGUUUUGUUUCCGCAUGAUAUACAGGGCAGUAAGCAACCGGGUGGCAUAGUGAGAAGCAUAAGAAGCAGUGGUUUUCCUAAUUUUUGUACUCCAGGGUAAUGAUGUUUUCUUCUCCUGAUUCAUACUCCAUGAUAUAUUGCUUGACCAAGGGUUUUAGACCAUCAAUCAGUACUCUCAUCCUUGUUGUUUUCUUUGUGAGUUCGUGGUGCUCCAGGUCACCUAACUCAAAGCCCACAUUCCGAACCAUUUUUUC